GUAGCCCAGCAUUCAGAGAACGUAGUGUUCUAGAGGGGUAAUAGGGUACUAUGAGCUCUUUAAGAUAUGAAGGGGCCUGACCAUGAAGAGCUUUAUAGGUGAGGAGGAGGAUUUUAAAUUCAAUUCUACAUUUUAUAGGGAGCCAAUGCAGAGAAGCUAGUACAGGAGAGAUGUGAUCUCUUUUUCUAGUUCCUGUCAGUACUCGUGCUGCAGCGUUCUGAAUUAAUUGGAGCGUUUUAAUGGACAUUGAUUUAAACCUGCUCGUGAACGCGCCUGACUCCGGGCUCGCUCCCGACCUGUUUCAUCAUCGGCGCUGAUUGGUCGAGAUGAGUACACCCAGGAGGGCGGAUCCAGUACGCAUGCGCAGUAGAGCCGUGAGUGGGAGCGUGUGUACUUUGAGGAAAGUUGAGAAAGACUAAGGACAGAUUUUAUUAAAGUUUAUAUUUAACUCACAAAAACAUUUAAAACUCAUCAACACACAGACUAACAGCCAGAGAGACGGACAGGGAGACAGACGGAACUGAGAGAGAGACAGACAGAAACAGAAGCAGCAAAGAAGCUCCGACACCCAGGCGAAGACACCGGGAGGUCGCAGCGCUCCGAGCCGGGCCAAGGAGCGCGACCGCCGGCAUGAAGAUCGAGUUCGCCCCGCUGAACAUCCCGCUGCGAAGGAGACUGCAGACCGCCGCGACGCUGCAGUGGGUCUUCUCCUUCCUGGCCCUGGCUCAGUGCUGUCUGGCUGCCUUCGUCCUGCUGGCUCUCUCUGAUUGGUGGACUCUGGCUCUACUCUAUGCUGGUUGGCUGUGGUUGGACUGGGACACGCCCAGCAGCGGGGGUCGGAGGUCUCAGUGGGUCAGGAGCUGGACCAUCUGGGACUACUUCAGGGACUACUUCCCUAUAACGCUGGUUAAAACAGUCGAUCUUGAUCCAAAGAAAAACUACAUCUUCGGAUUUCAUCCACAUGGUGUGCUGGUAGCGGGGGGGUUUGGGAACUUCUGUACGGAGGCGACAGGUUUCUCUCGUCUGUUUCCAGGACUGAAGUCUCAUCUGCUGAUGCUGCCCUUCUGGUUCAGAGUCCCGCUCUUCAGAGACUACAUCAUGUGUGGAGGCCUGGUGUCCAGCUCGAAGUCCAGCCUGUCGUACCUGGUCAGUCGCCCUCAAGGAGGUAACAUCUCUGUCAUUGCUGUGGGUGGAGCUCCAGAGGCUCUGGACGCCCGACCGGGAGCUUUAACACUGCAGGUCCUGAACAGGAAGGGCUUCAUCAAGCUGGCUCUCAAACAUGGAGCUCAGCUGGUUCCUGUCUUUUCUUUUGGAGAAAACGAGUUGUUUGAUCAGAUGGAGAAUCCCACUGGCUCUCCUCUGAGGACACUGCAGAACCGGUUGCAGAGCAUCAUGGGAGUAGCAAUGCCUCUGUUUCAUGCCAGAGGAGUUUUCCAGUACAGCUUCGGACUGAUGCCCUACAGGAAGCCCAUCCACACCGUCGUGGGGAAGCCUAUCUUGGUCGUCCAGACUCCCAGUCCUAGCAAUGAGGACAUUGAGUGCCUUCAUAAAGUUUACCUGCAGAGUCUGCAUGAACUGUUUGAACAGCACAAACAAACCUACGGCCUCAAUGAAGACCAGCACCUCACCUUCAUAUGACCUGUUAAUGACCUUCAUAUGACCUGUUAAUAACUUCAUAUGACCUGUUAAUGACCUUCAUAUGACCUGUUAAUAACCUUCAUAUGACCUGUUAAUAACUUCAUAUGACCUGUUAAUGACCUUCAUAUGACCUGUUAAUGACCUUCAUAUGACCUGUUAAUGACCUUCAUAUGACCUGUUAAUAACUUCAUAUGACCUGUUAAUGACCUUCCUAUGACCUGUUAAUGACCUUCAUAUGACCUGUUAAUGACCUUCAUAUGACCUGUUAAUGACCUUCAUAUGACCUGUUAAUGACCUUC